rnacentral:tRNA from 1 species
CAAUAGGGAGCCACUGGAGUUCAACAGCAGGGAGUGGCCAAUCAAACCUGCAUUUUAGGGAAAUCAUUUGGUGGAUGGAUGGAGGAUGGGGUGGAGGGGAGAGAGAUGAGGAGGGCAGUAAUUAAGGUGGGAGGUGAUGAGGACCUGCAUCAGGGUAGUUACAGGGUCAGAGGAGAGAAGGGGAUGUAUACCUGUGUCAACAUAGAAUCUAGGAACCCCAAACUUGUGGCCUACUGGGAUCUGGUGAACCCCAAGUUUCAGGACAAGCUUAUAGGUUGGAGACCCCAAAGCUUGUCCUUGUUCCCUUUUCCCAUAGGAAUCUACCCUGAAGGGAAUCCCAGGCUGGCAAGCCCAAGCCAAAAGUGACUCUUCUCCAGAAGUCUUUCCCAGUAAAUCACAUCCUCCUUCCAAGGAUCCAACUCGGGACCUUCAGCUUGUGAGACUGAUGUGCUGCCUAUAGCACCGAAGAGUCACUUGAAGGGAGGGGAGGGGAGACUAGUAGGAAAGAAAAUACCAGAUUUGAUGCAUGUUGAGUUUCAGAUGUCUGUGGACCAUCCAGGGUGAGAUGCCUGACAGGCAGCUGGAUGUGGAGAGAGGAGAGCAGGAAAAGCUUCCUCAGCUGCAUUGGAUGACCGGGUUGUGCUUUGUGCUCCAACACGCCCUAAGCACUCCACAGUGCUCCGCUGCGUUGCCCUCUCAGCCAUUGAACCUUCUUAUUGGUUUCUUCCAUCUGUUCCGCCGAAGCAGUCUUCACAUGCUGGGUGAGCAAAGCCCUGGUUCACCAGGGGUCGAUGACCCGAUGGCUACCCACACAAGUUUUGGCCAACCUGUCGAAACCGUUGCCCGGGGUGUGGCCGCUGCCACAUGCUAGCAGCUACUGGGAGCCACAAGUGAGAGCUGGGUGUCAGGUGGGGGUCAGAGGCUGGAGAGCUGCCCUAGGAGGGCAUGACAAGCCCUCCAUACCAGAGAUACUACCCCUCCCUGAGCACCCCAUACACCCCAAAGUAAGCGCCCAAAGUGGGGCUCAAACCCACGACCCUGAGAUUAAGAGUCUCAUGCUCUACCGACUGAGCUAGCCAGGAAGCAAAACAGUGGCAUCUCAUUGACUACAUCACUGUAUGCUGGCGAGACAUCCAGGAUAUAAAGAUCACCAGAGCCAUGAGAGGAGCUGAAUGCUGGGCAGACCACCAAUUGGUUAGAGCGACUCUUCAAAUGUGCAUUGCGCCUCACCAUCCAAAACCUGCCCAGUUUGCGCAUUUUACAACGUGAGUCAUCUUAGAGAUCCAUCUUAUUUGCAAACAUUCCAGUCCUGCCUGGACAACAAGCUGUCUGCCAAGGGACCACUCACUGGAAGCUCAACCGAGAAAUGGAACCAGUUCAGAGACGCAGUGAAGGAAACAUCAAAGGCAGUCCUAGGCCUAAAACAAUGCAACCACCAGGACUGGUUUGAGGAGAACAACAC